UCCAACAAAACUUUUUAUAUACUCCAUGACACCAACACUCAAAAUCUUUCCAUGAUAUCCAUGCUAAAAUUGCUCUCAACAAAGCCAUGAAGUUGUCACUAUUAGCAUUGGUGUGCUUCUUUAUCUGUUUUCAAGUUGGAGCAAGAAGAGAUUCGCCGUUUUUCAUCAAUCCUCAACAAAUCCAACCCUUAGACUACUUUCUUGUCACAGGAUGCAGCAGUAACUGUGAUAUCUCUUGUUGCUACUGUGACAUCAAGAAACAACCACCAAUUUGCACCCAAUGUUGUGAAGAUGAAGAACCUUAAACUACGAUAGAACCGAUGCGCCGCUAGAGAGACUGUAAAGGGAGAUCACACACAAAUUAGGUUAUUAUAUUUUAGCAAUGUUGCUAUUGUUCGAAAAUUUUAAUACAUACAGAAAACAUAUUCUACAAAGCAAAACUGUAAACAUUGAACUUAUAACCGAGGCUAUAAAAGUGUAACAGAUGAUACGAUUGUUUACCACUUAUUAGCUGACGCUUAGUUUCAACUUUAACACCUACGAAAGAAUGAUAAUGGCAAAACGGCACUGAUAAAG